rnacentral:rRNA from 1 species
CCUAGUAACGGCGAGUGAAGAGGAAAGAGCUCAAAGUUGGAAACUGUUUGGCUUAGCUAAACCGGAUUGUAAACUGUAGAAACAUUUUCCUGGUACGCUGGACUAAUAAAGUCCUUUGGAACAAGGGCAUCAUGGAGGGUGAGAAUCCCGUCUUUGGUCUGAGUAGUUGUCUUUUGUGAUAUGUUUUCAAAGAGUCAGGUUGUUUGGGAAUGCAGCCUAAAUUGGGUGGUAAAUCUCACCUAAAGCUAAAUAUUUGCGAGAGACCGAUAGCGAACAAGUACCGUGAGGGAAAGAUGAAAAGAACUUUGAAAAGAGAGUUAAACAGUAUGUGAAAUUGUUAAAAGGGAACCGUUUGGAGCCAGACUGGUUUGAUUGUAAUCAACCUAGAAUUCGUUUCUGGGGUGCACUUGCAGUCUAUGCCUGCCAACGACAGUUUGAUUUGGAGGAAAAAAUUAGUAGGAAUGUGGCCUCUCGAGGUGUUAUAGCCUAUUAUCAUACUCUGGAUUGGACUGAGGAACGCAGUGAAUGCCUUUAGGCGAGAUUGCUGGGUGCUUUCGCUAAUAAAUGUUAGAAUUUCUGCUUCGGGUGGUGCUAAUGUUUAAAGGAGGAACACGUUUAGUAUAUUUUUUAUUCGCUUAGGUUGUUGGCUUAAUGACUCUAAAUGACCCGUCUUGAAACACGGACCAAGGAGUCCACCAUAAGUGCAAGUAUUUGGGUGACAAACUCAUAUGCGUAAGGAAACUGAUUGAUACGAAAUCUUUUGAUGGCAGUAUCACCCGGCGUUGACGUUUUAUACUGAAUUGACCGAGGUAAAGCACUUAUGAUGGGACCCGAAAGAUGGUGAACUAUGCCUGAAUAGGGUGAAGCCAGAGGAAACUCUGGUGGAGGCUCGUAGCGAUUCUGACGUGCAAAUCGAUCGUCAAAUUUGGGUAUA